GACGAACGCUGGCGGCGUGCCUAAUACAUGCAAGUAGAACGCUGAAGGAGGAGCUUGCUCUUCUGGAUGAGUUGCGGACGGGUGAGUAACGCGUAGGUAACCUGCCUGGUAGCGGGGGAUAACUAUUGGAAACGAUAGCUAAUACCGCAUAAGAGUAGAUGUUGCAUGACAUUUACUUAAAAGGUGCAAUUGCAUCACUACCAGAUGGACCUGCGUUGUAUUAGCUAGUUGGUGGGGUAACGGCUUACCAAGGCGACGAUACAUAGCCGACCUGAGAGGGUGAUCGGCCACACUGGGACUGAGACACGGCCCAGACUCCUACGGGAGGCAGCAGUAGGGAAUCUUCGGCAAUGGACGGAAGUCUGACCGAGCAACGCCGCGUGAGUGAAGAAGGUUUUCGGAUCGUAAAGCUCUGUUGUAAGAGAAGAACGAGUGUGAGAGUGGAAAGUUCACACUGUGACGGUAUCUUACCAGAAAGGGACGGCUAACUACGUG
rnacentral:rRNA from 1 species